GAUGAACGCUAGCGGCAGGCCUAACACAUGCAAGUCGAGGGGCAUCAUGGCGUAGCAAUACGCUGAUGGCGACCGGCGCACGGGUGCGUAACGCGUAUGGAACCUACCUAUCAGAGGGGGAUAACCCGGCGAAAGUCGGACUAAUACCGCAUAAAACAGGGGCACCGCAUGGUGAUAUUUGUUAAAAUUUAUUGCUGAUAGAUGGGCAUGCGUUCCAUUAGGUAGUUGGAGAGGUAACGGCUCACCAAGCCAACGAUGGAUAGGGGAACUGAGAGGUUGGUCCCCCACACUGGUACUGAGACACGGACCAGACUCCUACGGGAGGCAGCAGUGAGGAAUAUUGGUCAAUGGGCGAGAGCCUGAACCAGCCAAGUCGCGUGAAGGAAGAAGGAUCUAUGGUUUCGUAAACUUCUUUUAGCAGGGGAAUAAAGUGGAGGACGUGUCCUCUUUUGUAUGUACCCUGAGAAUAAGGUCGGCUAACUCCGUGCCAGCAGCCGAC
rnacentral:rRNA from 1 species